GCGGGUAUCGUAUAGUGGCUAUUAUAUUGCCUUGCCAUGGCAGAGACACGGGUUCGACUCCCGUUACCCGCUCCA
rnacentral:tRNA from 1 species